rnacentral:rRNA from 1 species
AGGACGAACGCUGGCGGCGUGCUUAACACAUGCAAGUCGAGCGGAAAGGCCCUUCGGGGUACUCGAGCGGCGAACGGGUGAGUAACACGUGAGCAACCUGCCCUUAGCUCCGGGAUAGCUCCGGGAAACCGGAAUUAAUACCGGAUACGACCACGGCCGACAUCUGCUGUGGUGGAAAGGAUUCCGGGCUAAGGAUGGGCUCGCGGCCUAUCAGCCUAGUUGGUGGAGUAACGGCCCACCAAGGCGACGACGGGUA